GAGUCCGUGCAUGUAACUCUCCUUGAAAGGAUACGUUAGACAUGUUUUUUUUAAUUGAUAUUUUUGCUUGCUCUGUUCAUUCGGUGCUGGAAUUGCAUGCCUCGGUGCUCCCAGCUUUAAAGCCCGGUCGCGUAAAUCCAAGCAGCGAAUGCAAAGCAUGAAUUCCAGUCUAUUUAUUCCCGCAGGAUUUAGCCGAGGUGGGAAGAAUAUUGAAGAAGCGGCAGCAGCGACGAUGAAUGGGACGAAUGCAGAAUUUCCUUCAGAGUUUGGAAGAGCGUGCAAAAGAGCAGCCCCAUUCAGUUUGGCUCCCCCCAACACACUGCAGCGAUGUGCCUCCGCCUAGCUCUGAAAGGGAUCUGCUUGUGCCUGCAUGGCUCGUCCACCCUGCCCAAAAGUUGGAUAAUUUAUGGGCCUGAGGGAGAUUAUAAAGAUGGAUCUUUGAGGCAAUCAAUUCUCAUGUUGCGUUUUGAAUGGUGGGAUAGAAAUGAAGUGCAGAAUAAUUAAAAAGAUCACAAGUCCCCCUUCGCAUGUAAUAAUGAGUAGCUCCAGAGGCAGUGGGCUCUGCCACAGUGCCGGAGGAAGCGCCUUUGAUUUGACUAAGAGGACACCCGGCCUGGUCCAACACUCUGCUGCACAAAAGGGGGGAUUUCACCCACCGCCACACACUGAGCCAGCCUUGAGGACUGUGUGCUUGUCCACCAGCGAGAUCAUAAGCAGAUACUGUUGUCACAGGAAGUGGCGGGGGGGGGGGAUUGUUGCUUGGAUGUCAGAGUUGGCAUGAAAAGUGAUGGAGGCGGCUGUUUGGAAUAUGUUUCACAAUGCUCAGUGUUAUGGGAUUUUAAAAUAAAAUCCAUGCGCCCUUUG